rnacentral:tRNA from 1 species
GCCCGGGUAGCUCAAUCGGUAGAGCGUGUGGCUCUUAUCACAAAGCAGUACAAGAUCACCUCAAGGUCGUGGGUUCGAGCCCCACCUCGGGCU